rnacentral:lncRNA from 1 species
UAGCUUCCUAUUAUUGCAUUUUUAUAAUUGGCAAUUUUUUUAUAUUACAUUUUUUAACCCAUAUAUUCAUUCUCGGACAUGCUUUAAUUUAAUGGCUCUGCAGAAUGAGAACUUAAUGAUUAGAUUUAGUUGAAAUGCUUGAUCAAGAUCUUGUUUGGGAGUGAUUUUGAGAAUUGAUUUUUUUGACUGUUAGGAGAAAAGUGGGGUCCAUCUGUGAGAGAAGAAGUCAAAUAUGACGAUUGAAAUAGUGAAAUAACUGUCAAAAAAUCAAUUUUUGAGAGGAAAAAAUCACUCCCAAAUAGGCUCCAAGUACAGGUAUAAAACACCUGGCCACGCAUAAAGAAGUUACUUGUCAGUAUAUUAAGAUAAAUGUUUCUUUUGGUUAGUCAAAGUUUGAAAUAAGUUACUUAUUUUAAAACGGUUAUUCCUACCUUAUUGUCAAAUUAAACUACAUUUUUAUUUAUAAGAAAAAGUAACUUGUCUAAACAUGUGUGGAAACAAAAUUUAUUUGAAAGUAACUUCGCUCUCUAUGCUUUUAGCCAAGUAGGCUUCAAGAGAAACAUGACAAAUGUGAGAAGAGUCAAUCAAGCCUGUAGGCAGAAAUAUGUACUUGCAACUUGGAAAGACAUUGUUAUUACAUAGUUCAUUUGAACAUACUCCUCAAAAGACAUUGUACAAGUUUUUACUUCCACUAUGAUAAAUAUGGCAUUCUGUAAACACCCAUUUCGAGGACAAUCGAGACACUUCUUUGGAAUCUUAGCAAUUGUAUGAAGUCUGUUUGCACAUAGGUAGGCCUAGUAUAAUGUAUAGUGGAACUACGUAGUAUUUACUAAAACUCCGGGGUAGCCAUGGAGCGUCGAGAUUAACGGUCAAAGUAGCAGAAGAAUGUGAAUCCAUGAUUGUCUCAGUUAUCUGAGAUAUCGUCCAGGUCUUGCCUUACUUCUUCUGCACAGCCGUUUCCAUAAGAAAGGAAGAAAGAAGAAAUUGCAAGCAGAAAAUUAGAGAAAUUGCUCUGCUUUGUAUAUUCCAUUGAAAAAUUACUCGUUCUCUAUAUUCUAACAGCAUAACAGAAAAGGGGAAAUGAUGAGGACAUCACACCACCUAUUUUAGAUUUCUACUUGUGGGUUAUUUAUUUUAUGUUUUAUUAGUUUAAUUGGGUUGUAUUUAUGGACCGGCCCAAGGUCCUUUUAUGCUUUAGGUUUGCUCUUUUUUUUCCUCCUAUAUAAAUGGAUGUGUACUGUAACUGGAAGGAUGGUUGAUGAAUUAAUGAAAUGAAUAUGCUCAGUUAUUAAGUUUCCUUUCCCUUCCUCCCUGACUUCUUCUCUGGGUUUUUUCCCCCCUGCUGUCGUCUUCUUCUUCUCUUCUUCUUGCUGAGAUUCUGCAAUUCUGCUUCUUUUAUGUUGUUUUAUAUGAGGAAUCCUUUUUUUCUGCAUCAAAGUGGUAUCAGAGCCAACAUCAACAGCUACUUAAUUUUGCAUUAUGGAGUUGCUACUCAACAAAGCCAACUAUGCCACCAAGAUUGCCUAGCACUCACACGCUGUACUCCACCACUGAUUUCAACAACCCAGCCUCUUCUCUAACGGCUAACAACUACCAAUCUUCCCAUAACCCACAUCAACAGCCCACUAAGCCCAAAUAAACACCACCACCAUACCCACAAGCCAAACCUCCAACCAAAUAGUAACCAUCGACAACUUCACAAUAACCAACACCCUUUAAUAUACGGCAACUUCAAAACCGCUGCUUGUGAACACGGUCUGCUACAACUCCCCUCAAUCAUGCCUCAAUAUCCAACAACAAAUUCGACACAAAAAGCUUACUUACCAUCGUCUCCACCUGCACCAACCCCGUCACUGCCUCUUCUAAAUCCGGUAAACCACGUACUCCCACCACAAAUCUUGUCUAAACCACCUCUCAUGUUGUUCACUACAUUUGUUUGAAACCUAACUUCAUUGUCAUACCUUCAUAAUCGUACCCAUCCGCCGAUCGCUCCUAAACCGACGACCCAAGCUAUUAACCCUCUCCUUCGCCAAUCGCAGAAUGCCGACUCCACAAUUGACACAUCCCACGCCGCCAUCAUCACCCAAUGGUCAAUUCCUAUUUGGGGUUUAUUUUAUAUUUCAGCCUCUAUUGAUUUUGGGCCUUAGUUGUAUUUGGACUGUGUUAAUGUUUGGCCAUGUGUAAUGUAGGGGAAAUGUAUGUUUUGGGUCUCAGUUUUUACCCCAUUUUGUUUAUAUGAAAGUGUAAUUUGAUUUCGUAAGUGUGAAAAAAAAAAAAAAAAAGGGAAUAGCAAAGAAAAAAGUGAAAACAAAAAGUUGGAGGGAAAAAAAAGUGAGAAAAAUAAAAGAUAUUAUUUCUAAUAUUAUUUGCAGGUACUUCUUUUAUUUUGGUUGAUU